rnacentral:rRNA from 1 species
AUUGAACGCUGGCGGCAUGCCUUACACAUGCAAGUCGAACGGCAGCGGACCUUCGGGUGCCGGCGAGUGGCGAACGGGUGAGUAAUAUAUCGGAACGUACCUUUCAGUGGGGGAUAACGUAGCGAAAGUUACGCUAAUACCGCAUAUUCUGUGAGCAGGAAAGCAGGGGAUCGCAAGACCUUGCGCUGAUUGAGCGGCCGAUAUCAGAUUAGCUAGUUGGUGAGGUAAAGGCUCACCAAGGCGACGAUCUGUAGCGGGUCUGAGAGGACGACCAGCCACACUGGGACUGAGACACGGCCCAGACUCCUACGGGAGGCAGCAGUGGGGAAUUUUGGACAAUGGGCGCAAGCCUGAUCCAGCCAUGCCGCGUNCGGGAAGAAGGCCUCGGUUGUAACGACUUUGUC